rnacentral:tRNA from 1 species
AAAGUAAUAGUUAAAAAAUAACAGUAGCUUGUCAUGUUACAAUUACCAAUAAUAAUUGGUUUACUUUA